CGAACGGUGAUGCCCAGCUUGCUGGGCGGAUCAGUGGCGAACGGGUGAGUAACACGUGAGCAACCUGCCCUCCACUUCGGGAUAAGCCUUGGAAACGAGGUCUAAUACCGGAUACGAGCACUUACCGCAUGGUGGGUGUUGGAAAGUUUUUCGGUGGGGGAUGGGCUCGCGGCCUAUCAGCUUGUUGGUGGGGUAAUGGCCUACCAAGGCGUCGACGGGUAGCCGGCCUGAGAGGGCGACCGGCCACACUGGGACUGAGACACGGCCCAGACUCCUACGGGAGGCAGCAGUGGGGAAUAUUGCACAAUGGGCGAAAGCCUGAUGCAGCGACGCCACGUGAGGGAUGACGGCCUUCGGGUUGUAAACCUCUUUCAGCAGGGAAGAAGCGAGAGUGACGGUACCUGCAGAAGAAGCGCCGGCUAACUACGUGCCAGCAGCCGCGGUAAUACGUAGGGCGCAAGCGUUGUCCGGAAUUAUUGGGCGUAAAGAGCUCGUAGGCGGUCUGUCGCGUCUGGUGUGAAAUCCCAUGGCUCAACCAUGGGCUUGCAUCGGGUACGGGCAGACUAGAGUGCUGUAGGGGAGACUGGAAUUCCUGGUGUAGCGGUGGAAUGCGCAGAUAUCAGGAGGAACACCGAUGGCGAAGGCAGGUCUCUGGGCAGUUACUGACGCUGAGGAGCGAAAGCAUGGGGAGCGAACAGGAUUAGAUACCCUGGUAGUCCAUGCCGUAAACGUUGGGCACUAGGUGUGGGGCCAGUUCCACUGGUUCUGUGCCGCAGCUAACGCAUUAAGUGCCCCGCCUGGGGAGUACGGCCGCAAGGCUAAAACUCAAGGAAUUGACGGGGGCCCGCACAAGCGGCGGAGCAUGCGGAUUAAUUCG
rnacentral:rRNA from 1 species